GAUGAACGCUGGCGGCGUGCCUAAUACAUGCAAGUCGAGCGAACAGACGAGGAGCUUGCUCCUCUGACGUUAGCGGCGGACGGGUGAGUAACACGUGGAUAACCUACCUAUAAGACUGGGAUAACUUCGGGACACCGGAUCUAAUACCGGACAAUAUAUUGAACCGCAUGGUUCAAUAGUGAAAGACGGUUUUGCUGUCACUUAUAGAUGGAUCCGCGCCGCAUUAGCUAGUUGGUAAGGUAACGGCUUACCAAGGCAACGAUGCGUAGCCGACCUGAGAGGGUGAUCGGCCACACUGGAGCUGAGACGCGGUCCAGGCUCCUACGGGAGGCAGCAGUAGGGAAUCUUACGCAGUGGUCGAAAGCUUGACGGAGCAACGCCGCGUGAGUGAUGAAGGUGUUCGGAUCGUAAAACUCUGUUAUUAGGGAAGAACAAAUGUGUAAGUAACUAUGCACGUCUUGACGGUACCUAAUCAGAAAGCCACGGCUAACUACGUG
rnacentral:rRNA from 1 species